AGUUGAUUCAGGCAUUGAAGAAAACAAUGUGACAAACUAUGAAACAGACCUUUCAUCCCACUUCCCCACACUCAACUUCAGUCCAAAACCUCUCUUUCUCUGCUUCCUAGUUUUCAGCUUUCUUGUGACACUCAGUGCUUCCCAGUCUGCUUGGUGAAGAAGCAGCAGGCAGGGCAGGAGGGAGAGCAAUAUUUACCAACAAAAAGGAUGAUGUUGGUUGGAUUAUGUUUGAUGAAGAAAAGGAAAGGGCGGUCAGCCUUAAACUCUUCAAACUCAGAAGAUUGUUUGAUGUCUCCAAUCACAUCUGCUGAGCCACCCAUCUCAGUGCCCUCUUCAUUGACUUCCAUGUAUGACCUAUGGACAGCCUCUGAUAUCUUCAGGCUCUUUGCGGAAGAGAUGCCAGACAGAUCAGCUGAAGAGCUGAACAGGACCAUACCUGCUCCAGACCAGAGACAUCAUCAGGCAACAGCACCAGCAUGCUCAGCUUUCCACUGGCAUACGGCAGCUCCAGGAUCUUAAUUUUCUCUGAAGGCACAGUUCCCAUUUUGAAGGUACUGUUCUGAC